CUGAGCUCAAUCUCAGGUUGAUGUCACACUAGACCUUGGUGACUUGGCCCCACUUUUAUAAUAAGGAGGAAAAGCAGGCAAAGGACCUGAGUAGAAUCCACUCCUGCCAAAGUCCAGAUUGGUCUCUGGUGAAAGUUACAUCCAGCUCUAUCCACCUCUCACAAACUUUCUCCUGUACAACAUCAGCAAAACUGAAGAGCUGAUUAUUGUCUACAGGAGGAAGCAGCCGGAUGUCCAUGAGUCAGUCUUCAUUAGGGGAUUGAAAAUGGAAAGAGGCUUGGACACCGGGUCCUAGAGGCACACAGCAUGGAAAGCACUGUCUUGCUGGAAGCAAUUAAUACAGGACUGAAGACACAAGUCAGGUAACUCAUUACACG